AAUCGAUUUUGCGCCAAGGGUAUUGCAUUUCCAUUUGAACCAGAGCAAGAGCGGGUGAGGUUUUUCCAGUUUUUUGUUUGUUAAAUCGAAAAUGGCAUAUGACACGGCGGACCCCAGCCCAGAGUGCAAGGCCCAGCUGACGAUCAGAACCCUAACUCCGUCGACGCUGAAGCCAUUGAUUGCUAUAGCCGUGACCUAGAAAUCAGGGUUGCAAAAUUCCCAGAGUGUAUUGCUGCUUACUAUAGGUAUUGGCUUCUAUGCCGAAGAAAGAGGGCAUCUCUCAUGAAGAUUCCAGUAAAGAAAGUUCUUCAAAAAUUCCUGUCAAUGGUCAAUCCUCAGCUACCUCAACUGCAAAUAAUGCAAAGCAAGGUGAAAACGCAAAUCGAUCACAAACACAUUCUUAAUUAAAGCAGUUUAUGUUCCUUUCUAUGUGCAAUAAUGUUCUCAAUAGUUGCUAUACACCACGUGCUUAAGUGAGCUCAAUUGUGCUGCUGCAUAUGUUCUUAGAUUGUGUGUUUGUGAAUAACCUAUGAGGAUUGAGGGCUACACAAAUGUAUUAGUAUGUCAUGUGUUUUUUUUGUGAUACAUGUUCGAUAGUGCGUAG